UACGUAGGGGGCUAGCGUUGUCCGGAAUCAUUGGGCGUAAAGAGCGUGUAGGCGGCCCGGUAAGUCCGCUGUGAAAGUCGGGGGCUCAACCCUCGAAUGCCGGUGGAUACUGUCGGGCUAGAGUGCGGAAGAGGCGAGUGGAAUUCCUGGUGUAGCGGUGAAAUGCGCAGAUAUCAGGAGGAACACCAAUUGCGAAGGCAGCUCGCUGGGACGUAACUGACGCUGAGACACGAAAGCCAGGAGAGCGAACGGG
rnacentral:rRNA from 1 species